CACACUCCGCCAGCUCUGGAUGCCUUUUUUAUGCAUGGACAACUUUUCCCCCCUACUUCUUCUUUCUUUGAGGAUCUUCUCCACUGGAUUAUAUCUUUUUUUUAGAGACAAACUAAGACAACUUUGAAGAAAACCCCUGCGUGCGUGUGUGUGUGUGUGUGUGUGUGUGCGUGCGUGUGCGUGGGUGAUAAUAAUAAGUGACAAGUGCAGUGCGCGCACGGGGAUUGUCCCACUUUUGGAGGAGCUAUGCCGAGCUAUGCAAAGGAGUAACUGGAGUUUUUUCAGAACCUCCACAGCUUUCUCUCCCUGAGGGGAUGGUUGAGGGUCCUCGGGGGCCAGGAGCGACUUUGGGGCUCCUACACGCCUGCUUCGUCUCGUUUGGGGUUCAAUCCAAAUUAAAAGGGAGAUGAGAGCCACAAUCUGUUCCUUCCUGCUGUGGACGACCUACCUGCUGCUGGCCACCGCUGAGGAAGUGCAGUUUCCCCAGGAACUGAUAGACAGACUGGCCCACAGUGAAAUCCACAGCAUCAGCGACCUCCAGCGGUUACUGGAUAUUGAGUCCGUAGGUACGGGAAACGAUGUUAUCGAGGGGCCCAGGCACCACAAACACCACAACAACCACCAUCACCCCAAGAACCACUCCCGUCACCCUGGUUACUAUAGCGACCUGAAGAGCUCGCAGCUACACAGUCGUCGCAAGAGGAGCAUCGUCGAGGAGGCGGUCCCGGCGGUGUGCAAGACGCGGACGGUGAUCUACGAGAUUCCCAGGAGCCAGGUGGAUCCCACGUCGGCCAACUUCCUGAUAUGGCCGCCCUGCGUGGAGGUGAAGCGCUGCACGGGAUGCUGCAACACCAGCAACAUGCGCUGCCAGCCCUCCCGCAAGCACCACCGCACCGUUAAGGUGGCCAAGGUAGAGUACGUCAAGAGGAGACCCAAGCUGAAAGAGGUCUUCGUACGGUUAGAAGACCACCUGGAGUGUGUGUGCACGUCGCAGCAUCAUGUUGUGGAGCACUCCGAUGCAGAAACAGGCCAUCGUAGGUCUAAAGGUAAAAAAAGGAAAUCUAAAAAGCGCCGAAAGGGUUUAUUGGCAACAUAAUAAAGUCAAACCCAUUACACCCCCCCCACCCACAUCCUCCUACUCCCACUCAAUGCCCACUGCAGAGCUGUGAAGGGAACAGUGGACGUGAGGUGAGACCAAUACGAUCUGAGAAAAAAAAAAAAAAAAAAGGAUGUCAGCGUGGGAGGGACCGCCUU